rnacentral:rRNA from 1 species
UACGUAGGGUGCGAGCGUUAAUCGGAAUUACUGGGCGUAAAGCGUGCGCAGGCGGUUCGUUAAGUUCGAUGUGAAAGCCCCGGGCUCAACCUGGGAACUGCAUUGGAAACUGGCGAGCUUGAAUGCGGCAGAGGGGGGUGGAAUUCCGCGUGUAGCAGUGAAAUGCGUAGAGAUGUGGAGGAACACCGAUGGCGAAGGCAGCCCCCUGGGUCAACACUGACGCUCAUGCACGAAAGCGUGGGGAGCAAACAGG